rnacentral:rRNA from 1 species
GAUUAACAUUGGUAGUACGCAUAAUGCAUGCAAGUCGAGCGGAACGUAGCAAUACGUUUAGCGGCGAACGGGUGAGUAACACUUGUCUUACUUGCCGACUAGAGGGGGAUACGCUAGGGGAAACCCUAAUUAAUACCGCAUACUGUUGUUGGAGAAAUCUUUCAAUGAAAGGAGCUUUUUGUUUCGCUAGUCGAUAGGGAUGAGGUGUAUUAGCUAGUUGGUGGGGUAAAGGCCUACCAAGGCUCUGAUGCAUAGCCAGCUUUAGCGAGUGAAUGGCCACACUGGAACUGAGACACGGUCCAGACUCCUUCGGGAGGCAGCAGCAAGGAAUCUUUCGCAAUGGGGGAAACCCUGACGAAGCGAUACUACGUGAAGGAAGAAGGUCUAUGGAUCGUAAACUUCUGUCAGCGCAAUAAGAAAAAUGCGAAGUAACUUUCGUAGUUGACGAUGCGUUAAGAAAGUCACGACUAACUACGUGCCAGCCGCCGCAGUAACAC